rnacentral:ribozyme from 14 species
UCAUCAUGAGAGAAGAAAGAAAAGAACAAGUUGUUUUGUUUUUCCUUCAAUUUUAUUUUAUGAUCCUUUUCUCUUA